AGCCGCGUGUCAGUAGGGCAGCGGGUUGCGUUGCGUUGCGGUGCCCGGCCUGGCCCGGUCAGGGCGGCUGUGGGUGAGCGUGGGGCAGAGGCACUUCUCGUCUAGUUCCGGCAACUUGCGGCGGGCUCCCGCUCACCUCAGCGCCCCAGGACUGCGGGGUGUCCAGGGGGACCCCCGGCUCCCGCGCCAGCAGCCGCGGCGGGAGUGCCCCCAGAGCCGCGGACCCAGUGGCUCUCCCGCGGAGGCAGGGUGACUGCUGUCUUGCAUUUGAAGCCCUGUAUGAUCCCUGCUGCCUCCGAAGUGUAACGCCCGCUUGGCAGCCGCGUUUCUAGUCAGGCGGAGCCACUUGGCUCGGGGGCUCGUUAGAAUCUUCCCCGCGCCCGCGUUCCACGGCGGUUAACGACCCGCCCUCCUCUUCAACGGUCUCCACGCGCCACCCGCAUCCGCCAGCCUUUCCUCAGGCUCUGGCAGUGUAGGCUGUUUUUCACUCCUAAUAAAGUGUCACUUGUUCUUAAUUCCACGUGACCUGGAUGAUACAACCCUACGUCCCUAGCCGGGUUAGUCAGUUAUUUAUGAAAUGCAAAUCUACAGAGCCAAGCGAUAGCCUCCUUCUUACCUGAAUUCAAAGUUAUUAAUCUGCCUCUUAGUUUGUAGAGGGGACUUUAUUUAUUUUUUUAAAGAAAUGUUUCGUGUUCCAAGCCAAGUCAGCCAAAUCAAGUCCAAAACCGUAAGUGUCCCACACCAGGGGCUUCAGCUAUUUCCAACAUCUUUUGGCGGGCUUCCUAUGUGCAGGCCCAAACCCAGAGGCUUGGGGUUCGGAUGCCCCCAAGCAUGAAUGACCUGUGCCCCCCGUGUCUGGGAGGCAUGGCAGCGGUGGAAGUGUGGCAACAGUAAGCAGGAGUUCCCACAGACGCUGCUGAUGCUGUUGGUGGGGGGGAGGGGGUGGCAAGCACCAACCAAGGGUUGGUGACCACCUGCAGACCAGCGGGGAUCGCUGACCACCGGCAGAUGCUGCCAGCGGUGUCAACAGCAGGGGAUGGUGAGCAGCAACUGUGCAGCAACUGCCUGCCUGCUUGCCUUUUUGUAGGGGGUGCACUGCCACACUCGGGGUGCACGUGCACCCCCUAUGCGUUGCCCCUGCCCCCAAGUUUCACCAGCCCUCAGCCAUAUGGCCACAGGAGCAAGCUAGGGAGGAAUAUCACAUUUCCAUAAAGUGGGCUCCAUAAAGUGGGCUUUAAGCCCCAACACCCCAGCGGGUGCGAAACCACGCCAGAAGAACUGUUAUCCCGGGGAACACUUAAAGAAAACUGCCUUCAUGGACCCAGAUACAUGGUGUUUCCCAGAGGGGACAUUCCUCAAUAAUGUGCGGCACUGAGCAGUGUUAGUAAAGCCUCUAAUUCUUUUCAGCCAGAGAAAGGCACAUGCUGUGCUAGGUGUGGCGAUGCACCUCACCCUCUGCACUGCUUUUUCCAAAUUCUAGAUGUGCCCCUGCUCAUGAGGCUCACCUUUCAAGAAGAGCCUGUGAAAGGCCUCACAGGGUCUCUUGGUGUCUGAGUUGCUCCGUGACCCGAGGGAAAGGGAGUGUGCAGUUUGGUUUUCCCCGUUGCCCAUCUCUCAGAUCUGACCUGGGUUUUUCCAGGCUUCUGCCUCCUAAACUGCAGAGAUGCUGCAUGUGGGACUCGGCUAAGAAAAAAGUUCUCCUGGGAGCGUCGCAGGCCUGAUCUCUACUGCUCAUCUUUGACUGACCUGCCUGAAAGGAAUCAUCAGGACACCUACCUGCAGACACCCAUGUGGGCCCAUGAUGGAAGGAGGCAGCCAAGCUCCUAUGCUAGUCCUUGCCUUUGUAAAAAAAUGAAAAAAUUAAAAAAAAAAAAAUCCAUGUGGCAUUUGUUCUACUCAGACUCCUUUGUUUUCACAUCUCAUUAAAAAUCUCACUGUUUGCUUUUUCUGCUCA